UGGUAGUGAAAUAAAGAAUUUACACAUAUAACUCUCUGAAAGGACUAAGACCAUGUUUAUCAAAAUUCGGCCUAACGUCCAAAGUGAAUAAUUUUUUGUUAGAAAUAUUCUCUAACAUGUUCUUUUCCUGUAAUGUACUGGUUUUUAUAUGUAGAGUUGGUGAAAGAACACAAUUUUUAGGUUUACAUUACUAGUAUAAAUCCUAUAAUUUGCGCUACUUUUUAAGAUUGCGUCAUACAACGUCGCUAUAUAUUAUUAGAAGUGGUAACGUAUUGUAAAACAUGAUUAUACAAUGAGUGGUUUAAUAUAUAAUAAGAUCUUGAAAAAGAAAUUUUCUUUCCCAAAUACGCAAGAAGGUUAUUUUACUUAUAGCCCGAAUGGCACACCAUAUUUUUCAAUCCUUCAUUCGGCCUUUUUCACACGCGGCGCCGUUAGUCUGUUUGCGCUGUUCGUGGAAGUUGCAGAGGAUGUACUCAUCGCAUUUCAACGAUGAUAUAAUAUGUACAGCAAAAAUUUAUGGCAAGGGUGACAUGAAUCAGAUUGACAAGAAUCCAUAUUCCUACUCCUCAAUAAUGCUAUCAUCACUGCCAUCAGAUUCAUCAAUGAUAGUGGCAUCAGUGACACAUGCGGAUAAGUGUUGGACAUCACUACAGGAAUAGCUUCCUUGUUGUGCCUGCCAAUAGCAAGGUACCAGAUUAUACAGCAGUUAUGUGGAAACAGAUUCCCACAGAUUGACACCUACAUUGUACAGUAUCAGGCAGUUAUAUCAGAACUGGAAAAACUGGAUCCAAACAAGACUAUAUUGCUUGGAAGAAACAUGUCGACUCUGAAGUUUAACCCUUAUUAACCCAUGGCACUUCCAGAGACAUCCUGAUACCAUGGUUCUAUGUCAUUUGAAAUAUACCUGUGGAGGUUUUUAAAGUGGUUUUUUUUGGGGGGUGUUAUUAAUUGGAAGAAUUUAUAUUUGAUGAUUCAAAUGAAAAUCUGCAUGUUGAAUUAUGAAUGUCAUAAUAAAUGUACUUUUUGAAUGAGUUCAAGAAUGGUUGUCCUGAUAAAAAGUGUAGAGUCAAAAGUUAACAAAUUGUCAAAAACACUGGUCAGGUCUGAAUUCAUCAUCUUGGACACCUUGCAGUUGGAAUUAUGAUCUCUAUGAAGAAAUGCUGAAAAUCUUGUAAAAGAGGAAAUGACAAGUUGGGGUCCAAGGCACUUGAAUAUAUGCAUGAGAAGGUGUUCUAUCCAGGCUUGAGGUCAAUUACAUAGCAAUGUAACGCCUUACAUUACCUAGAAAAUUUCACAUUACCAUUACUCCUAUUUUGAAAUAUAAUGUAUUACAUUACUUGAGAGUGAAUUUACAUUACACAUUUACAUAACAUACUGUCAGAUAUUAAAGAAAUGGCAGGAAAAUUGUUUCUGUAUUAUGAUUUUUAAUAUAAGUACACAAAAUAUUCAGCAAUGUUAGGAAACAUAUCUAUUAAGUUAUUCAUUGCAUUUGAUUGUCAUCAAUGUUUCAAAUGCUUCAGUCAAUCACUAAUAUAAUGAAUUAUUCUAAAUCUUCAAAAUAUCAUCAAAUAUUUGAAGUAGUGUAAAUGUAAUGAAAAGUAAUGUGCAGUACAGUAUGCAUUACAUUACCAUUACUUGUAAUGCAAAAAUGGUUCAUUACACCCCCAUUACAUUGAAACUGGCUGUCAUUUAAUUACCAUUACCCCAGGCCUGGUUCUGUCGAGAGGUAUUGAAAUUGUCUGUAGAGACUUUGUCUCAGGAAGUGGCCGAGAUUGGUUGUGACAAUUUUGUUGGAUGUGAAUUUACUGACACACAUGUCUACACUUGCUACACAAUAUAGCAUGUGGUGGUUUCAACAAGAAAGUUCUUACUCUGCAGGAAAUGACGAAUAGCUAAUGGAUUCACAUUUUUUCUGACUUUACUUCUGUACAUUAGAUGCAUUGGAAAAACUUUCCUUUCCAUUAUCUUUUGCUGGUUCAUACUUUGAAAUAAAAUCAAGUCCGAAAAUAAAGUAUUUUGGGUUUUUUUUUUUCAAUGAAUUUAAAAAAAUGUAAUCUGUAAUCCUUGCAUAUUUUCUUGGUGUUCUGUGAUUGCAUAGGCCUAUUGAUUUUUAUUUGUAUUCAGGUAUGAUUUCAUCUUCAGUGUCUUGAAAGAAAUAAAUUUUUCAAUAAUGCAAAGAAAAAUGUAGUUAACAGUAUGAUUUUAAAAAAAAAAAUUUGACACGGGUAGGAAUUGAACCCGGAUCUCCCGAUUGAAGGACGGGCUCGCUACCACUAAGCCACGACGUCUAUGACGUCAUUCGCUCAAAAAUCCUUCAUACAUUUACUUGCCCUAGUUAACGUUAUACUUCAAUAUUUCGGCAAUAGUUUUAGUUAUAUCAAUGCAUGUUCUAUAAAUUCUUUUCAUUUUGAUCUUAGUAAUUCUGUUGGUGUCGUCUAAAUAAAAACUUUCUAUAGCAUUGAAGGUCCGGUUUGUCGGACAGCAGAUUCGUUUGUUUACGCAUCAAAAUUCUAUAGCUUUUAGAAUAUCCUGCACAAACCUGUGAUAAAAACACCACAUAGGGGUGUAUUCUGCAUGGAAAUGAUGUAGACUCCACAUAAGUAUAUUGUUUUAAUUUUUCAAAGCAACAUAAUUAAUAAAAUACCCACAACUCUCACAAAAAUAAAUAAUUCCGGAUUGCUCUAUUUUUAAUUCAAAGUUGAUAUUCAUCAACAGCACACCUUUCGAUCCAAAAAAUCGUUCGUGCAAAAUUUAUUUGUAUUGAUAGAUUUUGAUAGACUACAGUCAGUUUCUGGAUCGAAGGUCGUGUUUUAUAUGAAUUAUAUGACUAAA